rnacentral:rRNA from 1 species
CACGUAGUUAGCCGUCCCCUUUCUGGUAAGAUACCGUCACAGUGUGAACUUUCCACUCUCACACUCGUUCUUCUCUUACAACAGAGCUUUACGAUCCGAAAACCUUCUUCACUCACGCGGCGUUGCUCGGUCAGACUUCCGUCCAUUGCCGAAGAUUCCCUACUGCUGCCUCCCGUAGGAGUCUGGGCCGUGUCUCAGUCCCAGUGUGGCCGAUCACCCUCUCAGGUCGGCUAUGUAUCGUCGCCUUGGUGAGCCGUUACCCCGGGACCAACUAGCUAAUACAACGCAGGUCCAUCUGGUAGUGAUGCAAUUGCACCUUUCAAACAGUUGUCAUGCAACAACUACUAUUAUGCGGUAUUAGCUAUCGUUUCCAAUAGUUAUCCCCCGCUACCAGGCAGGUUACCUACGCGUUACUCACCCGUUCGCAACUCAUCCAGAGAAGCAAGCUACCUCCUUCACGCGUUCUACUUGCUAUGUAUUAGGCACGCCGCCAGCGUUCGUCCUUACGG